CACUGCAGGCUGCUAGGGUCCAUGCAAAUAUCUUGUACCACUACCAGUUAAGGCAAACAUUUCAACGUUAAAGACAUUAUCUUGGUGUCAGCGGCAGAAGAGAUCCUGGACCUGGUGCCUCCUGGGUGAGAGGGCCUUGUGCUGGUGGGGUACAAAGAACGUUUACCAAUCUCAGACAAUCCUGCCGGACAAACAUUAUGCCCCAGGCCACAGGGGUGACAGUAACAACUUAUUGCAGUCAUGUGUAAAAGCAUGUGAUUGCAGUUUCCAGCUGGAAGAGACAGGUUACAAGGCGGCAGGGACCAGAUCCUCAGAAGGACAUCACAUGCCCUGUGAAUCUGGAGGCCUCUGGCUGCCAUCUGAAGGCUUUUCUCAGUGUCAUCUCCAGCAUCAUCACUGUGUCAGCCUAAAAUGUCCAUGCCUGGAUGGUCUGAGAGCGCAGUGCUGUGGCCAUGAAGGAGGGAGAUGACAGGAGGAGAAGGAGGUGCUGGUCACAGUGCCCAUGUUUGCUGUCACCUUCUCAUUUCAGAGUCUGACCAAGCACACAGGGUCGCAGAACUGAGCCCAGCAUUGCUCAAAAGAUUCAGCAUCUGCCCCCCUCUGGCUCAGACUGUGUCUUGUGGAGGCAAUACCGAGUGAGCAUCACAGGAAGGGCAAGGCAAGCCACAAUGUGGAGCUUUCACAAAGGGAAUUUCUUAGUGUGUGUGUUGGAAUGCUCUUGGGAGGUUUCUGUGCUCAGCAUGAAACAGUCCAUGGAUAAAAUACAGAGACAAGUCUGGGGACAUGAGUAGGAUCCAGAGCCUUGAACAGGAAUGAGAUAAACUAGAGAAACUGAAUCCAAACAACUCAGAGGAUACAGUAAAUUCCUAGUGUGGGAGGAAGAAAAACAGUAUUGUACAACUUUCAGCUGUGAAGAUAUUCAGACAGCUCUUGGACAAAACUGGAAGAUUUUCUGGGUUUCAGAUAUAGCGGAGUACAAAUUGCCAAAAAACCAUCUCUAGGGUGAAUCUCCCUGUGCUUAGUGAUGUUCUUACAGCAUGGAUCCUUCCAUAGGAAAAAAAAAACAUCUGGAAAUGGAAGACCUAAGCUGUUCUUUUCUUGCCCAACGUGCCAGUGAGCAGCUGCUGCUGUCCUGUCACUGGGAUAACCCUGUCCUUACUCACCUCUGACUGGUUCAUGAGUAUUGCAGACUCCUGAGAGCGGGGAGAGCCUGCAGCUGGGCUGGCAUUGGGUCAGCACAGUUGGAUGAAGUUUUGUCCUCAAGCAUCAACCUCUAAGUUCCUAUAUGAAACAGGAGCAAGAGCAAUUUGUCUCCCUAGGAACUUUACCUGCAAAAAAAAUUUUUUCUAUCUAAGCUAGUUAACCCAACAUACUUAUACUAAAGUGUUUCUUUGGGCACUGGCUUGAAAUAUCUAUUUGGGAAUUGCCCUCUUGGAAAAUUGCAGUUUAACAUCUGAGAUGAACCUGGCACACAAGCUGUCACACACGAGGGCAGAACAAGUACACACAGCUAUCAUCACAUCCAAGACAAGACACUGUGGAGGCUUUGAUGCAGAGCAGGAGGAAUUUCUCAACACGGGUGCAUCCUUGUCCCUUGAGCAGCUCCUCUACUUGGAGAUACCACAUGCAGAAUUUGUCUCCUAUGAAGCCGAUGUUCUUCAGUGUAGACAUGGGCAGAAACAGCUAUCAGUAGCAGAGGGUAUUAAAAGUGACUGCAAACUGAAAAAUGAGAACUCCACACUUAAUUUAUCUGUAAAUGGCACAGAAUAUACACUUUAUUGCUUAUUAGUUUUUUUCUCCUAAAGAGAGAACACCGGGUGAACCAUCAAAGGGCAAGGGCAAAGUGAAACAAGGACUGUGCCUGUCCACAGGGCCAAGCUCUAAAGCUGUACUUCAGGCUUUUACCCCUUCUCCAGUUUCAGUUUUCCCUGAAGAAGAUAAGCCAUGGAAUUUGCAGGGCCAAGAUCUUCACUGCAAAGUCUCCUCCAAUGUCUCGAUUCCCCAAAGUGUUGAGGAAGUUUGUCCCUCUCUUUGGAAGCAAGGGGACAUCCUUCCUUGGAUGGAUCAGCCUCUGCACGCUGAGGGCCCUGUGCACACCGGGCUCUGCAUCCCUGAGGAAUGUAUACCCAGACGAGGUUUUGAGUAUUUGGCUAUGAUCCUGGAAUAACCUCAACGAAGUCGAUGGAUUUUCCCCAGAUUUACUUCAGCAUAAUGAGCUAAGAAUUUGGACCUCUGUGCCAUA